GGUUUAAUUCGAAGCAACGCGAAGAACCUUACCAAGUCUUGACAUCCCGGUGACCGGACAGUAAUGUGUCCUUUUCUUCGGAACACCGGUGACAGGUGGUGCAUGGUUGUCGUCAGCUCGUGUCGUGAGAUGUUGGGUUAAGUCCCGCAACGAGCGCAACCCUUAUCCCCAGUAGCCAGCGGUUCGGCCGGGCACUCUGAGGAGACUGCAGGGAUAACCUGGA
rnacentral:rRNA from 1 species